rnacentral:rRNA from 1 species
AUUGAACGCUGGCGGCAGGCCUAACACAUGCAAGUCGAACGAGUGGCGGACGGGUGAGUAAUGUCUGGAAACUGCCCGAUGGAGGGGGAUAACUACUGGAAACGGUAGCUAAUACCGCAUACCCUCGGAUGUGCCCAGAUGGGAUUAGCUAGUGGGUGGGGUAACGGCUCACCGAGGCGACGAUACCUAGCUGGUCUGAGAGGAUGACCAGACACACUGGAACUGAGACACGUUCCAGACUCCUACGGGAGGCAGCAGUGGGGAAUAUUGCACAAUGGGCGCAAGCCUGAUGCAGCCAUGCCGCGUGUAUGAAGAAGGCCUUCGGGUUGUAAAGUACUUUCAGCGGGGAGGCGUUACCCGCAGAAGAAGCACCGGCUAACUCCGUGCCAGCCGCCGCGGUAAUUC